AGUUGUGCAAGACUCGGCCCUUUCUCUAGACAAUUAGGUUGAUGUCUUCAGGAUUCCUCGAUUCGAACUAAAAUGGUAGUGAUGAAGAGUACGAGACAGCUGAGGAUGUGCACGAUGAAUUAAAUCCAGCAGCAUCCACUUCCGGGGAAGUAAAGUCUGAACAUCCUCCGGUCUACAUCCCGGAAGAUAUUCCAAUUCCGGACCGGUUUGAGUUGCGAGGAGUCUCAUGCGUUUCCAGGACUGGGAGUCUGGACUAAGCAACUCGUACAGAAAGGAGAAAAGUUCGGACCGUUCUCAGGAGUAUUGUCAUUUACGUCCAACAACUCAGCAACCUCAUGGAAGAUUUUGAAUGAAAACGGAGAAAUAAAAGGGUGGAUUGAUGCUAGUGAAACAGGAAGCGGAAAUUGGAUGAAAUAUAUACGAAACUGUUCACGCUCGGAAAACCAAAAUCUGAUGGCCAUACAAAUUGAAGAAGAAAUUUACUACAAAUCAAUGAGAGAUAUACUACCAGGCGACGAAAUGCUCAUCUACCCCGCCGAUCCGGUCUGUCGAAUGGACGCCCCGGACUUCUCCAAACUAGAUGACCAAGGUGAGACAAAUUAUCCUUGUGAUUGCGGAGAGGUGUUUCGGUCUAAAAUUGCGCUAGCACGCCAUCAGACGUACGCUUGUACCCAUAGCAACAACGUCCAGAAUACUCCACAGAAAAUGUCCAUGGACAGGAACUCCGAGGAUGAGAGCUUGGACUAUAAGAGCGUUGGUAAUGGUGACACUGACCUGUCCUCGGAGGUCCCUGAGCUCGGAGACCACGGAGAGUUCAAAUGUGACAAAUGUCCAAGGUCGUUCCAAUGGAAAUCCUAACUUAAUUCGUCAUCAGAUCACUCACGACUCACUCAAAAAAUUCAGCUGUGAGAAUUGCGACAAGAUCUUCACCGAUCCAAGCAACCUUCAGCGCCAUAUAAGAUCCCAACACGUAGGAGCCAGGAGCCACGCCUGUGGAGAAUGCGGAAAGACCUUUGCGACAUCUAGCGGCCUGAAGCAGCAUCAGCACAUCCACAGCAGUGUCAAACCAUUCCAAUGUGAAGUCUGUCUCAAAGCCUACACCCAGUUCUCCAAUCUCUGUCGCCACAAGAGAAUGCACGCCGACUGUCGUCAACAGAUUAAAUGUAAGGACUGCGGCCAGGCCUUUUCUACAGUUACCUCUCUGAGCAAACACAAACGCUUCUGUGAAGGCGCUCUUCGAAAUGGAAUUCAUCUAGGAUUUCCAUCUGACAAAAUCAGCCAGUUAAGCUUGCCAAGCGCCGUCACCCCCUCCCACCUGAAUCCAGCCCUGUACAUGGGGAUGUAUCGGCCUCCCUAUCCAUUCUAUCCUCCACUUGGAGCUUCGUUUCCAGUUUUCCCUGGUGGUCACCCAUUUCCUGGUUUGACAUCCCCGAUUUCACCAUCAAAUCCCGGAAAAAUGUCUCUACAACCGACCUCACCUUUGGGGAAAGCUUCCAUUCCCUCUCACUUGUCACCACGUGACCGACUAUUUGAGCGACACGCCGAGGAAUCCGGACGUAAUUCCUGUCAACUCAAAUUCUAACGACUCACCACUGAGUUCCGGAAGUGAUUCGGACCACAGUUCUGCUUCCGAUGCAGAAAGUGAAAGCAGCUCUUCAAAACGUCCAAGGACCAAGUCUCCUUCCCGGGGAUCACCACAUCAACCUUGGUUACCCUUUAGUCAGUCCGUAAAAACCGAGCGAAUCUCACCAAAGCCCAAAGACCUACCUUCACCAAGUCACGAGAAAGAAGAGAAAAACCAAGAUAUUCCAUUCGAUCUUUCCAAAGCAACAAAAUCACGAUCUCCAUCUCCUGCACAUUCAAGGACCACUGCCUCACCCAAACCGUCUUCUGGGGAACAGCCGCUUGACCUUACUCGUAAGGCCCCGAAAGAAAUCACGCCCCCUGAAAAUACGAGGAAAACUCACAUAUUUGGUUUGCCCUGCUCUGGCCCCGAUGCCAAACUUCAUUAUGCCUAUCCCCAGUUUGGAACCCCAAGCCUUAUUAUGGAUCAUCUGCGUUUAGGGAAAGAAAAAUUCCAACAAUCUCUUCACGAAGUCUCCAAAUUCAUGCCAUUUUCACGAUUUCCAAUGAGCAGUUCUUCAUAUGUUGCUGCCGCCAUGGGACAAUUCGGGGCCAUCAAACACGAAAGCGAAGAGAAGGGGAUAAGCGCCAUGAUGGAUAAACUACCAGACUCUUUCCCGUAUACUUCUUCUGGGAACAAAAUAAAGGAAAGAUAUGGAUGUAAAUUUUGUGGGAAAGUUUUUCCCCGCUCUGCUAAUUUGACACGUCAUCUUAGAACUCAUACAGGGGAACAGCCUUAUAAAUGCAAAUACUGCGAGAGAUCUUUUAGCAUUUCUUCUAAUCUCCAGAGACACGUGAGAAACAUUCACAACAAAGAGAAACCAUUCCGUUGUACUCUCUGUGAUCGAUGCUUUGGCCAGCAAACAAAUCUGGACCGACACUUGAAGAAGCAUGAAACUGAGGGACCAAAUGUUCGGGAUUCACCGAUUGCCGAACCCGAUCUAGAGUCCAAGGAUGAAUCUUACUUUGCUGAAAUCAGAAAUUUCAUCGGAAAAGCAACAGAUCGUGAACUGAGCAUGCCUGUAGUUGAAACCGACAAUCAUCAAAUCGUGGACCGUCUUCCUUUAGAAAGUAAAAUGGAGGAUGUUGAUGAUGACGUUGAAGAGGAGGAGGAAGAUGACGUUAUGGAGGAAGAGGAAGUAGAAAGCGACAGAAUGGACGGAAGUUCCCGCGGCAGCUCUCCCAUCAAAUAAACCAUAGUGCUACCCACUCAUUUCACUGUAAAUAAUACAUUCGUUUGUCAAAGGGACCAAUUGACUACGGCGUUUUUUGCCUUCAUCUGAAUAUUUUGCCAUUUAUAUUAACUUAUUGAAACUGUCACGUGUGGAACCAAAGGUUACCGAGGACCAAUCACAUCGCGAGUGUUUGUGUGUGAACUUUGACCUGUCUCCUUCAGGACUUUUCCUGAGAUAUUAUAUGAAUACAAUCUUUGUCAGAACUGCCGCUUUUAUAUGCAGAAUAUAUUAGUGUGACAAGUGUGUUUGUGUGCUUUACAUUGUAGCCAUAUUAAUUUAUUUUUUAUUUAUUUUUCAUUUAUCCAUUAUUUCACAAGAAUAAACAAAUACAAAGUC
rnacentral:misc_RNA from 1 species